AUCCAGCUGACGAGUCCUAAACAGGACGAAACACGCGUCCUGCAU
rnacentral:hammerhead_ribozyme from 1 species